CCACCUUUCACUUAAGCAAACUUGUCCACAGACUGUGUGGGUCCCAUCAGCUGAGAGUAGCCUUCACAUUGCAGUGAUGUGCAUAUUUCUGCUUUUCAGCCACGAUGGACUUUAGGAUCUUCCCUGAGGACCCUACACGAACCACAGGUGGUGGGAUAGAAUGACAGUUGUGAGCAGUUCCCAUUGGCAUCAACUGUACCACAGACCCAGUCUCAGUGUGACACAGAAGACGACUACCUGGAAAGUUCAUCCACAGAGCACGUAAUUCUGAUUGGUGCAACAGUCUGGAAGAGUGAAAGAUAUCAUCUCCCAAGGGCAAGUGCUGUGCUAGUGGACACUGAGGAGCUGCAGGGAUCAGACCCCUCCCCAUCCUUUUCCAGCCUCUCUUGUUCUUUCUUGAGAUGUUUCCUGCAGACCUGAAAGAUCCAUGCAGUCCAUGACAUGGGUUUCAAUUUAAUCUCAGGACAUUUUAUUCAUUGCCCAAAAACUAAGACCAGAUAAAAUUUAUUCAUUCAUUCAUUCAUUCAUUCAUUCAUUCAUUCAUUUCUUAUAUAUAAGUACAGGGUAGUUGUCUUUAGAAACAACAGAGAGGUCAUCAGAUCUAAUUAGAGAUAUUUGUGAGCUGCCAUGUGGUUGCUGGGAUUUGAACUCAAGACCCCUGGAAGAGCAUUCAGUGCUCUUAACCAUUUAUCAAUCUUUCCCAUUUCCAAGGUAACUUUUUUACUUUCAACAAGGUAUUCUUUAUUCAGGUUACAUCCUGAUCCCAGCUACUCUCCCUCUUCCCUUCCCAGUCCCACCAUACAAAUCCUUUCUAACAAUACUCUCCCUUCUCUUUGGAGAUGGGGAUACUCCCUGGGUACCACACCACCCUGGGACAUCUAGUCCCAGGUGGACCGAGCACAUUCUGCCCCACAGAUUUACAAUCAGGCAGUCCGGGUAUGGGGAAGAGAUCCAAUGGCAGGCAACAAAGACUGAGACAGUCCUGGAUCUACUUGUCAGAUGACCCACAUGGAGACCAACUGCAGAUAGCUACACCAGGCUCUGGAGUUGGUUGCACAUGCUCUAGUAUACAUGGUCCAAAGUAUCUGACUGUAGGGAACUUCUUGUAGUGUUUUUGACCCCUCUAGUUUGCUCACAAUUCUCCCUCACUCUUCCACAAGACUUCCCAAGCUCCAUCUGAUGUUUGGCUGUGGGUUUCAGCUUGUGGAUGAAGCCUCUUCAGAGACAAGUAUGUUUCUUUUCUGUCCACAAGUAUAUCAGAGUAUCAUAAAUACUGUCAGAUGUUAUCUCUGUCACAUAGAUGAAUCUCACUUUGGGGCAGUCAUUGAUUGGUUGUUCCCUCAAUCUCUGCUAUAUCUUUAUCCCUGCACAUUCAUUAGCAAGAUAGAUUUUAAGUUGGUGCUGUGAGUGCAUUGAUGUCCACUUCCUCGUCUAGAAGUUCUUUCUUGCAACAAGAGGUAGCCAUUUCUGUCUCUUGCUCUGGUAGGAUUCUAACCUAGGGUCACCCCCGUAGACUCCCCCUAUGCUCUCCC
ensembl:lncRNA